rnacentral:rRNA from 1 species
AAAGGAGACUGCCAGUGAUAAACUGGAGGAAGGUGGGGAUGACGUCAAGUCAUCAUGGCCCUUACGACCAGGGCUACACACGUGCUACAAUGGCGCAUACAAAGAGAAGCGACCUCGCGAGAGCAAGCGGACCUCAUAAAGUGCGUCGUAGUCCGGAUUGGAGUCUGCAACUCGACUCCAUGAAGUCGGAAUCGCUAGUAAUCGUGGAUCAGAAUGCCACGGUGAAUACGUUCCCGGGCCUUGUACACACCGCCCGUCACACCAUGGGAGUGGGUUGCAAAAGAAGUAGGUAGCUUAACCUUCGGGAGGGCGCUUACCACUUUGUGAUUCAUGACUGGGGUGAAGUCGUAACAAGGUAACCGUAGGGGAACCUGCGGUUGGAUCACCUCCUUACCUUAAAGAA